UUAGGGCUCAAGCCCAAAGGGCGAGAGGCCUAUUGUUUUCCUUAGGAUUAUUUUUUAUUAUUAUUAUUAUUAUUAUUAUUAUUAUUAUUAUUUUUUUCCAACGUCUCGGGGGCUUUUGGGGCCCUUAACGUGCUUAAAAAGUCUUGAAAAUUGGCACACAGAUUGGAACUUGCGGCCAUUAGGGCCGGGCAGAGACUGAUACACGGGCGUGGCACAGGGGCUCUACAGCGCCCCCUGGAAUAUGGAGGGCCAUAUAUCAUACACUCUUGCUCGUAGACGUAUGAAACUCGGUACACAUAUAAAUCUCAUCAAUCCAAACAACUUUUGUAUUGCAUAUCAUAGGCUCCGCCCAACAGGAAGUUGGCUAUUUAGGGUUUAGUAUUCAAAUUUUUCGUCAAAGUUGUGGGUGCUUUUGGGGUCCUUAACAUACUCAAAAACUCUUGAAAAUUUGCGCACACUUUGGAAUCUGUGGCCUUUAGGAGCCUGCAGAGGCUGGGACCCGGGCGUGGCACAGGGGCUCUACGGCGCCCCCUGGAACACAGUCAGAAAUGUUGAUGUAUAGCUCACACAUACUUGCACAUAUUCAUAAGAAACUCAGUACACAUAUAGAUCUCAUUGUGCCGAAAAACUUGCGUAUUGCAUGUCAUAGGCUCCACCCAACAGGAAGUCAGCUAUUUAGAGUUAUGUAAAAAGCGCAUGCUCUGGAAUUUGAAAUACUUGUCAUAGGUUUUUUUCUCGAUUGCCGCCAAACUCGGUCAACAUGAUCUCAAGACAUUGGGGAUGAAAAAUUGCCAGGGGAUUUUUGAUAUCUCGAACGGUUUGCUCGUGGCGAGGCGUUGAAAUUAUGGCGAGAAAUGAGAAACAGGAAGUGUCUAAUAUCGUCCACAUACAUUUCCUGAUUUUAAUCAAACUUCAUCAGAUUAUUCGUUGUAUGAUGUCGAUCGCAUAUAUGUGACUAUUAGGAGUCAAAGUUAUAGCGCCACCAACUGGCAGAAGGAAGUGUGUCAUUUUCAAAAUGAUUUGAAUUCAGCAUCUUAUUAUUACUCGAUUUGCUUCAAACUUCAUCAGAAUAAUGUUAAAACACAGCCGAUAUAAAUCUGCAAGGGGGAUAUUGAUAUCUAAAAAAUUGUUGCCGUGGCAACAUGUCAAACUGGAAUACUUCUCAGGUGAUUUUGAGGCAAAGAACAUACUUAGAAUUUCACAAAACUCUGAACACACAUCAGUAUUUCUGAUAGGAACUUAAAUUGUGAAUGGAUUUUGGAUAGCUUGAAUGGUUUUGCCGUGGUGAUUUUUUUAAAUGACCUUACAAAGGGAAUCAUUAUUGUAUUUUUAAGUUGCAGCUUCCAAAGACGUCAAAUAAUUUUUUCAUACAGAUGAAAAAGUCAUUCUGAGGAAAUAUGCAUAGUUUCACGACUUUACAACACUGUAUGGAUAACAGAAAAUUAAAAAACUGUCAGACAUCUCAUCUCACUCUGUCCCUCUGUUUGAGUGUGUGUGCUUAGACUUCCAUUGUCUGAGAGAAAUAGCGCCCCUACAGGUUCAAUUCCCGGACUUUUACUUUCACUUUUAAAUCGGUUAAAAAUACAAACAAAUACUUAGAUUUAAUUCACACUGACAAGCUAAACCAACAUAUCUGAUUAUUACCGGUUCAGGGCUCAUGGAUAAAUUAUUUCUGGCCAGAGAUACGUGAGAAAUAGGAGAGAUGAAUCACCGCUCCCUGCUGAAAAAAACAAUAGAAACCAUUACAGAAUUUGUAAUGGUUUUAAUGGUUCUUAUUGGAAUUCUAAUGGUUUUAAUGGACACUGUAAUGGUCUCUGUGGGUCUCUAUUGGUAAUUUGCUUUCUUCUAUUGGUGGCGUGUAUUGUCUAUUGGAUACCAUUAAGGACCAAUAGAACACCUUUAGAAACUUCUAGUGGUAUACUGGACACCAGUAGAAACCAUUAUGACUCCAAUAAAUUUAGUGGUUUCUUUGGAAAACUGUAAUGGUCUUAGUGGGUAGGCUACUGCUGAAAAAAAAUGAACACACAAACAAUAGAAACUAUUACAAAAUGUGUAAUGGUUUUAAUGGUUAUAAUGGGAAUUAUGUUGGUUGUAAUGGUCACAGUAAUGGUCCCUGUGGGUCUCUAUUGGUAAAUUGCUUUCUUCUAUUGGUGGUAUGCAUUGUCUUGGAUUGCCACCAUACGUCAUUUGGAAAGGUUAUUUUUAAUUCAUUUAAUUUUUUUUUUUUUUUUUUUUUUAAAUCAACUCGACUCGUCAUGGCCUUCAAAAUUGACUUGAAAAGUUGGUCUUUGUUUUGUCUGUCGGAUUUGGUCCAAAUUUAGCCCAAAAAUAGAUGUGAAAUAACAGUGAAAUUCUGCGUGACUUCCACGUGCUGUAAUGUGCGCGCGCGCAGAACUGGAGCGGAGGACGUCACCAUGGAAACGAGGCGGCAGCCCAACCGUCAAGCAGCUGAUCGCUGACACUCAAUGUGGUUUCACUUUUUUUUUUAGAAAUGGUUUAGCGUCGUCAGAAAAAGGCCGUUGGCAUCUCAAAGGUAAGGCUAAAUACAAGAGGUAACGAUAGACAUGAGCUCUUGUUUAUUAAGUUUGGGCUUUUAAUGUCAUCUUGUGUGUAGAUGAGCUUGCUCUCUCUCUCUCUCUCUCUCUCUCUCUCUCUCUCUCUCUCUGUCUCUCUCUCUCUCUCCAUAUAUAUCAA